AUGAAUGACAUGACUGCAGCAAUGAAUAUACGUUUACAUAUUUUAGAAAAGAUUACAAAUGGAUUCUCACCGGACUCGAUAAUUGGAAGGGGUGAGUAUGGAGACGUUUACAAGGGAGUCUACAAUGGUGAAGUGAUUGCUGUGAAGUUGCUUCAUAAUGAUCCGCAGCAAGUACUCGAUGACACACAAUUUAACAGCGAAGUCGGUAACCUUUUGAGGGUUGAGCAUCCAAAUAUUGUACGGUUGCGUGGUUAUUGUUAUGAAGCACAGUAUAAAUAUGUUGAACACAAUGGUGAGAAAGUUUUGUGUAAACAUAUGUAUAGAGUUCUCUGCUUUGAGUACUUACAGGGUGGAAGCCUAGACAAACAUCUUAAUGGUACAAUGGAACUUCACUUCAGUAUGGUCAUUAUUUUCUAUGCUUAA
rnacentral:rRNA from 1 species